AUUUUUUUUUUUAAAUCUGUGGAUGUGAAGAAAAAAAUGACAAAAUCUGUUCUUAUCAGUUUAAUACCUGAUACAUCCUCCAUUCAAGGACUUUAUAUUAAAUGGACUUUUAGAGCCAGGAGCUGGAAGAGGGGCUUGCUCCGUCCACUCCACACAUCGUUCCUGGUAUUGCAUAUCUAAAUGUGCCCCUU
ensembl:snRNA U2 U2 spliceosomal RNA